rnacentral:rRNA from 1 species
AAUGAACGCUGGCGGCGUGCCUAAUACAUGCAAGUCGAACGAAGUGGCGCACGGGUGAGUAAUAUAUAGGUAAUCUCCCCUACACAGAGGAACAACAGAUGGAAACGACUGCUCAUACCUCAUAGUGUAGGAUGAGACUAUAUCGUAUCAGCUAGUUGGUAAGGUAAUGGCUUACCAAGGCUAUGACGCGGAACUGGUCUGAGAGGAUGAUCAGUAACAUUGGAACUGAGACACGGUCCAAACUCCUACGGGAGGCAGCAGUACUGAAUAGGGCGCAAUGGGGGAAACCGUGAGGCAGCAAGGCUGCGUGGAGGUGGUCACUUUUCGGAGCGUAAAUUCCUUUUAUCAGGAAAGCGGUACCGGAUGAAGAGGCACGGGCGAACUCCGUGCCAGCAGCGGGGGAAAUA